rnacentral:snRNA from 1 species
GGAUGGGAGGGCGAUCUGGUUGCAAUAUUUGUCACCCCAUUGAUCGCCAGGGUUGAUUCGGUUGAUCUGGCUGGUUAAGCGGGUGUCCCUUUCCUCCCUCAAGGCUCCAUGUGCCUCCUUCCUGAAGCUGCAUGCUGGGUCAAAGAGCGCGACCACCUCAGAGAGAGGAGGACCAUUCCUAGGUCAAGGGUAGUUACUCAUUAACUGCGCUCCCCUGCUAGAACCUCCAAACAAGUUCUCAAAAUAUUACACUGUCCAAUAAUAUGAAAAUCACAGACUAGAUUAUAGUUCAUUUGUUGGAGUAGUCUUAAAAUAUUUUUAAAAUUACAUUACAGAGACUAUGACAAUCACAGAGAAU